CGCCAUAUAGUGCACCAACAUGUUGCAUGAACUGAAAAUCUGUCGUAUAAAGAGUUACGAAAACCGGUUCACGUGUUAUGUGUCUUCAUUUGUAGAGUACGGUUAGGUCAGAUUUGUUUCCACAAGGGGCGAUGUGUACGGCUAUGGAAUCUUGCUCGUAGAAACUUUCACAGGAAAGAGGCCGAUGGAUGAGACAUUUUCCAGGGAAGAAAGCUUGAAGCGCUGGAUCGAGUAGUCUUCCUAGUGCACUU